rnacentral:ncRNA from 1 species
AUUAAAACGUUGACCAAGAGUAAGUACACAAUAAUAAUUGUUUUCAGAAAGUUGGUGGUUGAUGAAAACCAACACAGUUUUAUUGUUGGAAUGGGCUUGUGAGCAGAAGCUGAAAUUCUUUUUAGAAUAGUAUGCAACUCGGGUUCUCCCGUUAUAGAGAACGCUGUAUUUUUUGUACGGUAUGAGUGGGUUAUUUUUGAUAACCAAUUAAGGUGGCACCACGUAAUAAAUAGAUAUUACGCCCUUUGU